CGAAAGCGAGAGUGUUUUUACCCGAGCAGCCUACGAGCUAUAGGAAAAGAGUACUGUAAGCGAGUAGGCGGGGGGUGGUUAGACACGCCGCACAACUAGAACGAAGCGAGAACGGCUCUCCGCACCAUGUUAUUACGAGCAGCAAGCAUUUAUGCGUACUAGCGAGUAGGCGCGGGGUAGAGGUAAACCGAACGCAACGAGAACGAAAAGGAACGGCUCCCCUCGUACCAUUGCAACGAAGCAAAGAGUCGUUUUGCGUGUAAGCGAGUAGGCGGGGAGUGGUUACGAGCCGAAUACGACGAGCCGGUUGCAUUGUAACAGGCAACCAACUGAUAAGAAAAAUAUUUCGAUCGAAUGAAAAGGCAGAUGGUUUGGCUAUUGUGCUUUGCGUUGAGUUGUGAAAUAUGUUGAAAUGUGUUUGAUUGUUGAAAUGUGAAUUUUUUUUCGUGAUUUUUUGGCAAUUAUUACGGUAAAUUGCGAUCGGUGGUGAAUAAAAAGUAAUUUUUCGUGUUCGUGAUCGUAUUUGCGGUUCGAUUAAGGUGAGAAAUUUUGAAUUACGGUGAUUUUUCACGAAAUGAGCAGCUUCGUGCAUGUUUGGGGUUGGAAAAUUUUGUAGCAGAAAUAUUCUUGCCGAAAUCUGAGUAAGUCCAAUUUAAAAUAAUAUUAAUACGCGAUUUUCUAUGUUCAUAGCCGAGGAGUAUUGUGUUUCGUACAUCUGGAGUGCGUAGUUAGCCAAAAAUCGUGGAAAUUUCAAAAAUCGAGAAGCUCUCGUCGCGUGUGCUUGCUAAAAGAACAAAACGAGCAGCAACGUGGUGAAAGUUGAGGUUGGAAAUUCCUUUGAGUUGCCAGAAAGUUUUUCUCGAUUAGUAAUUGCGACUUUGGUUGGACGAAGCUUUUAUUGGAAAGCUGAUUAUUGGACGGAGUGUUAUUUUUUGAUCGUUUGAUGAGAAUUAUUGACGCUGGAAAAAGGUGAGUAGAACUUAGCAUGAGCCAAUGUGUUUCGUGCCACCUCGAGUAGUUUUUUUGUAAUCAUGUUGAAAGUGAACUGCUCAGGUAGUAACUUGUCUCGAUUGCCUGUUUCAGCUGAAGAAUUCGAUGUUGUAAUUGAAGUCGAUUCGUGUGACGAAGUUUUUUUUUGACGCUGAAAAAUAGGUGAGUUGAGUUGGAAUAUUACGAGCACGG